rnacentral:rRNA from 1 species
AUCCUGCCAGUAGUCAUAUGCUUGUCUCAAAGAUUAAGCCAUGCAUGUCUAAGUUCACACUGUCUCACGGUGAAACCGCGAAUGGCUCAUUAAAUCAGUCGAGGUUCCUUAGAUGACACGAUCCUACUUGGAUAACUGUGGCAAUUCUAGAGCUAAUACAUGCCUAUGAAGCUCCGACCCUCGUGGAAAGAGCGCUUUUAUUAGUUCAAAACCAAUCGCCGGUCGUCUUCGGGCGGCCGGUGUCCCCUUUGGUGACUCUGGAUAACUUUGUGCUGAUCGCAUGGCCUUCGUGCCGGCGACGCAUCUUUCAAAUGUCUGCCCUAUCAAAUGUCGAUGGUACGUGAUAUGCCUACCAUGUUUGUAACGGGUAACGGGGAAUCAGGGUUCGAUUCCGGAGAGGGAGCAUGAGAAACGGCUACCACAUCCAAGGAAGGCAGCAGGCGCGCAACUUACCCACUCCCGGCACGGGGAGGUAGUGACGAAAAAUAACAAUACGGGACUCUCUACGAGGCUCCGUAAUUGGAAUGAGUACACUUUAAACCCUUUAACGAGGAUCUAUUGGAGGGCAAGUCUGGUGCCAGCAGCCGCGGUAAUUCCAGCUCCAAUAGCGUAUAUUAAAGUUGUUGCAGUUAAAAAGCUCGUAGUUGGAUCUCAGGUGCAGGCGGACGGUCCGGCUCGCGCCGGUUCACUGUCCGUAUUUCCUGCCCUACUGGUCUGCCGGCUCUCUCCCGUGGGUGCUCUUCGCUGAGCGUCCCGGGUGGCCGGCGCGUUUACUUUGAAAAAAUUAGAGUGUUCAAAGCAGGCCUCGGCUGCCUGAAUAAUGGUGCAUGGAAUAAUGGAAUAGGACCUCGGUUCUAUUUUGUUGGUUUUCGGAACUGGAGGUAAUGAUUAAAAGGGACAAACGGGGGCAUUCGUAUUGCGGCGUUAGAGGUGAAAUUCUUGGAUCGCCGCAAGACGAGCUACUGCGAAAGCAUUUGUCAAGAAUGUUUUCAUUAAUCAAGAACGAAAGUCAGAGGUUCGAAG